rnacentral:tRNA from 1 species
GGGCGCAUAACUCAGGGGUAGAGUGCUACCUUCACACGGUAGAAGCCGGCGGUUCGAGACCGUCUGCGCCCACCA